rnacentral:rRNA from 1 species
AAUCAACGCUGGCGGCGUGCCUAACACAUGCAAGUCGAACGCGAAAGCCCCGCAAGGGGUAAGUAGAGUGGCAAACGGGUGAGUAACACGUGGGUGACCUGCCUUCGAGUGGGGGAUAACGUCCCGAAAGGGACGCUAAUACCGCAUGACAUCCUGCUUUUGAAAAAGCGGAGAUCAAAGCUGGGGAUCGCAAGACCUAGCGCUUGAAGAGGGGCCCGCGCCUGAUUAGCUAGUUGGUGAGGUAACGGCUCACCAAGGCGACGAUCAGUAUCCGGCCUGAGAGGGCGGACGGACACACUGGGACUGAGACACGGCCCAGACUCCUACGGGAGGCAGCAGUGGGGAAUUGUUCGCAAUGGGCGCAAGCCUGACGACGCAACGCCGCGUGGAGGACGAAGAUCUUCGGGUCGUAAACUCCUGUCGAGCGGGACGAACGCUUCGCGGAUGAAUAAGCCGCGGAAUUGACGGUACCGCUAAAGGAAGCCCCGGCUAACUCCGUG